UGAUAUGUGAAAUAUCGAUAACAAAUGUGGAAAUCGAACACGCCUUUUUGAUAUUUUAUCGAUGUGAAAUCGAAACGGAGCUCACCACAGCAAACAUUGAAAAUAAAAAUGCUUUGGAAUGGCACUACUUAUUUUUAAAAAUCAUUCUGCUUUAAUUUUAUGAUAAUUGCUCUAUUAUUGAUAUUUUGGUGGUUAUUGUUUGUUUAUAUUCUGCGCAGCUGUUUGGCAUCAGAACGGCCACACUAAAAAAUUUACCGUUGCCCAUUUUUUUUGCAUUUGUUGUGCCUGUGGAUAUGAGUGGUUUGUGGGAACAGGGCAUUACAUGGGGAAAAAUGUAACAUUUUAACUGAUUGGAAAAGAACUGAGAAUAGUUAAGUUUUUGGUGCUGUGAAAAAGUUUUGGUACCUAUACCGACAUUUUCGUGUUUCGAUGCUACAGCUUUCACAAGUUUUUGGUCAACGUAUUGCUGUCGGAACGUUUCAUUUCUUACUACUGAAACAGCUGGUCAGAAGUAAACAACGCGAACAAACGCAUUUCGUAUUUUUUGCGUGGGUAGAACUCAUAUAGGAAUGAUCCCAUCCUGCUUAGAUGAAAAAAAACUCGUUCGGUUACAUGCUGGUAUGUCAUACGACUACGGGAGUCUGAAACAAUACUCUUUAUGGCAGAAGCCUACGGUUCAGAUGAAACCGACCUAGGCAUGAUUAAGCAACUUAAUGCCACCUUCGCACAGUGGAUCCGCUUGUAUGGAAGAGCGGCCAAAAAUACUAAUAAUGGUCAUAACGUGCUGAAAUUUAUAAUAAUAAUUUAGCAAAUUUGUCUAAACAUAUAGCAACAAAAAUCGGACAUAUCGAUCGGCUAUAUCCUAUAGCUCCCAUAGGAACAAUCGAUACCUAAUUAUAAAAACAUAUUUGUUUAAUCUAAUUUAUUACGAUUUUGGUAUGGAAGAUAUUUUUCGUAGUUAUACAUAUUCUUAAAAAACUAAAAUAAAAAUCAACAAACAAAAUAUAAAUGAAACAAAAAUUAUAAAGCAUCAUCAAGUAAUUCGUAGACAGAUGUAAGCAAACUCGACCUAUCUUUUUUAGGAAGUUGUCUCUGUCCUGUUAAAAAUGGAUCUGAACGCAAUAAUAAAUAGUUAAUGACAUCUGUGUUUGUUAAAGUAAGAGAUACUUUCCGACUGUGUUCUACAUUUUUUUAGUUCCUUGUUAUUGGAUUCUGCUGCUUCCUCUGAAAGCUCUCCUAUCGACACUAAUGCAUACUGUAUUACAGCUGAACCAUGAAUUAAGACCUUAUGGACGGUAGCCGGUAAAUAGUACCAUGGAUAUGCAGCUAUAAGAUAUUUGGCUGUAUCCAGCGCGUAAUUUUCAAAUUUCUCCACAUUAAUUUUGAAUCCCGAUGCCAUGGCUUGCAAUAAUGUUGCACAUCUGUGAAUCAAAGAUGCAUCGAUUCCUGUUAUUUCGGAGCUCAAAUCUGCAUUACAAAAGAAUUUCCUUGCGAUAUUUCCGUUGUUUGAAGAUCCUAUACCUCCAUCUCUAGGUUUGUCCACUAGUAUUCCCAUAAUUUCCGGCCCCGAUGAGCACUUUCCUCUAUUUGAUUUGAUUUGCAAUAGGGGCGUUUUAUUGAAAUUGAUUCUUUUUUAUUAAGCCAUCCAGAUUGAUAUUUAAUAACUGCAGAUUUUGUCCGUUUGUAAUUUUUCCAAAAAGUUACAAUUGUUUUGCAGAGGUUCUCAAUUUUAUUGGAUACUUUGCUCAACUCUGGAAUAAUGUAGCCGUUGUUUUCAAUAUCCGCUUGCACAUCGGAAAUCAAUUUCCUCAUUUUUUGGCGUUGGUUCCAUUACCUGUGCACCACAUAUUAAAAAUAUGCAGACGUGGAAAAACACAUUUUUGCGAUGCACCUAUCAAAAUCCAAAAUCAAAAUUUAAAUAAUAAUUUACAAAUUAAUAUUUUUGCAAAAACACAAACCACUAAAGACGAAGACAAAGCAACAGCGCAAAAGCGCAACAGCACAAUAAGCAAAGACUCACCUUUAACUGCUUUAGUAAUAUUAGUAGAAAACACACAUCGGCAAAUUUCGGCAGCUAAUUCUAAAAUAUUUAGUAACCUAAAAUAAGACGAUCACAAAAACAUACAUACCAAGUUCUGGGUUUUCUUGGAACAUAACUAAAAGUCUAACUAAACAUUAAAUAUACUUUCAAAAAAUACACAAAAAAGGGUUAUUCGAUCAAAUUAGUUUUACGAAAAAACUUUUUCAGGAAAGUUAAUUAUUAAUAUCUCAAUUUAAAGUAAAUAUGUACCUUCAAUUUCAUAAUUCAUGUUAAAUCAUUCAAAUCGGAGCAUUGCAGCGUACGACUGAUCACUUUAAAGGGCGAAUUGAAAGAGAGAAAUAACUUCCAAAGCGCAGCUGCGUUGCCAAAAUGAACACGUGCUCACGAUUGCAAAUCUAUUUUUAGAAAGUACCGUUAGAUUUCCAGUAAUAUCCGGUAUGCCAAAGAGAAGUUUGGACUUUUAAGAGACAAUUUUGAUACAUUUUGCUUAAAAAUAUGUCAUCACAUUUUUUGAUUUUUGGCCUCUGACGGAACCACUGUGCUUCGCUAGCAUGGGCAUAGUUGGCAUUUGCGAGAUCCAGAAUUCCAACUACAAAAUGG